AUUUUAUCUGAUUUAGUCAUUAAAAACGAUCCGAUUCAAGCUCAAAUAUGAAAAAUCUACCAAAUAUGCAGAAAAAUGUCACUUUUCAGAUGGUUUUUGUCAAAAAUGAAAGUGGCCGCAUCCGUGUUCAUCCUCAACCUUUAUAUAUGUUAUGUAUUAUCAUAAAAUACAACUUGCAUUUAGAUAUUAAAGAUGAACACGAAUGCGGCCACUUCCGUUUUACACGAAAACCGUCUAAAAUUUAACUAAAAAGCUAGAAUUGUGAAGAUUUCAGUAACUUAGCAUGACUUAAUGGUGCUAGUAUCCGAUAUAUGUGCAUUCUAUUGUCAAAAACAGCCCAUAUUUAUGUAGCAGAAGCAUUCUACUGUCCAAUAAAUAACUAAAAGUUUACAUUUUAACAAUUUUGUAAAACUGCUAUAUUUUGGGGCCAAAAAGGGGUCUUACUGGACCUACUCCUUUA
rnacentral:lncRNA from 1 species